CGCGGCCUAUCAGCUUGUUGGUGAGGUAAUGGCUCACCAAAGCGACGACGGGUAGCCGGCCUGAGAGGGUGACCGGCCACACUGGGACUGAGACACGGCCCAGACUCCUACGGGAGGCUGCAGUGGGGAAUAUUGCACAAUGGGCGAAGGCCUGAUGCAGCGACGCCGCGUGAGGGAUGACGGCCUUCGGGUUGUAAACCUCUUUCAGCAGGGAAGAAGCCACAAGUGACGGUACCUGCAGAAGAAGCGCCGGCUAACUACGUGCCAGCGGCCGCGGUAAUACGUAGGGCGCAAGCGUUGUCCGGAAUUAUUGGGCGUAAAGAGCUCGUAGGCGGUUUGUCGCGUCUGCUGUGAAAGCCCGGGGCUUAACCCCGGGUUUGCAGUGGGUACGGGCAGACUAGAGUGCAGUAGGGGAGACUGGAAUUCCUGGUGUAGCGGUGAAAUGCGCAGAUAUCAGGAGGAACACCAAUGGCGAAGGCAGGUCUCUGGGCUGUAACUGACGCUGAGAAGCGAAAGCAUGGGGAGCGAACAGGAUUAGAUACCCUGGUAGUCCAUGCCGUAAACGUUGGGCACUAGGUGUGGGGAACAUUCCACGUUUUCCGCGCCGUAGCUAACGCAUUAAGUGCCCCGCCUGGGGAGUACGG
rnacentral:rRNA from 1 species